AUUGAAGGCUGGCGGCAGGCUUAACACAUGCAAGUCGAGCGGAGAGAGGUAGCUUGCUACUGAUCUUAGCGGCGGACGGGUGAGUAAUGCUUAGGAAUCUGCCUAUUAGUUGGGGACAACAUUUCGAAAGGAAUGCUAAUACCGCAUGCGUCCUACGGGAGAAAGCAGGGGAUCUCCGGACCUUGCGCUAAUAGAUGAGCCUAAGUCGGAUUAGCUAGUUGGUGGGGUAAAGGCCUACCAAGGCGACGAUCUGUAGCGGGUCUGAGAGGAUGAUCCGCCACACUGGGACUGAGACACGGCCCAGACUCCUACGGGAGGCAGCAGUGGGGAAUAUUGGACAAUGGGCGGAAGCCUGAUCCAGCCAUGCCGCGUGUGUGAAGAAGGCCUUAUGGUUGUAAAGCACUUUAAGCGAGGAGGAGGCUACUUUAGUUAAUACCUAGAGAUAGUGGACGUUACUCGCAGAAUAAGCACCGGCUAACUCUGUGCCAGCCGCCGCAGUAAUAC
rnacentral:rRNA from 1 species